AUUCUUCUUUUUGACCACAACGGU
rnacentral:siRNA from 1 species